rnacentral:tRNA from 1 species
UGGGCUGUAGCUCAGUUGGUUAGAGCACCGCUCUGAUAAGGCGGUGGUCGGUGGUUCGAGUCCACUCAGCCCAACCA